CCCUUAGAUGUUCUGGGCUGCACGCGCGCUACACUGAUGCACUCAACGAGUUUAUAACCUUGCCCGGUAGGGUUGGGUAAUCUUUUGAAAGCGCAUCGUGAUGGGGAUAGAUUAUUGUAAUUAUUAAUCUUCAACGAGGAAUUCCUAGUAAGCGCUAGUCAUCAGCUAGUGCUGAUUACGUCCCUGCCCUUUGUACACACCGCCCGUCGCACCUACCGAUUGAAUGGUCCGGUGAAUCUUUAGGACUGUGGCUGAGGCCUUGCCUUGUGCGGGUCUGGCCGUGGGAAUUUAGUUAAACCUUACCAUUUAGAGGAAGGUGAANUCGUANCA
rnacentral:rRNA from 1 species